CCUACGGGAGGCAGCAGUGAGGAAUAUUGGUCAAUGGGCGAGAGCCUGAACCAGCCAAGUCGCGUGAGGGAGUACUGCCCUAUGGGUUGUAAACCUCUUUUGUCGGGGAGCAAAAGCCGGACGUGUCCGGCUGUGAGAGUACCCGAAGAAACAGCAUCGGCUCACUCCGUGCCAGCAGCCGCGGUAAUACGGAGGAUGCGAGCGUUAUCCGGAUUUAUUGGGUUUAAAGGGUGCGCAGGCGGGUUUUUAAGUCAGCGGUAAAAUCGUGGGGCUCAACCCCAUCCAGCCGUUGAAACUGGGGAUCUAGAGUGUGCGAGAGGUAUGCGGAAUGCGUGGUGUAGCGGUGAAAUGCAUAGAGAUCACGCAGAACCCCGAUUGCGAAGGCAGCAUACCGGUGCACAACUGACGCUCAGGCACGAAAGCGUGGGUAUCGAACAGGAUUAGAUACCCCAGUAGUC
rnacentral:rRNA from 1 species